rnacentral:rRNA from 1 species
GAUGAACGCUGGCGGCGUGCUUAACACAUGCAAGUCGAACGGAGUUUUAUGAAGUUUUCGGACGGAUUAAAACUUAGUGGCGGACGGGUGAGUAACGCGUGGGUAACCUACCUCAUACAGGGGGAUAACAGUUGGAAACGACUGCUAACACCGCAUAAGCCUACAGUGCCGCAUGGCACAGGAGGAAAAAAUUUAUUGGUAUGAGAUGGACCCGCGUCUGAUUAGCUAGUUGGUAAGGUAAUGGCUUACCAAGGCAACGAUCAGUAGCCGACUUGAGAGAGUGAUCGGCCACAUUGGGACUGAGACACGGCCCAAACUCCUACGGGAGGCAGCAGUGGGGAAUAUUGCACAAUGGGGGAAACCCUGAUGCAGCGACGCCGCGUGAGUGAAGAAGUAUUUCGGUAUGUAAAGCUCUAUCAGCAGGGAAGAUAAUGACGGUACCUGACUAAGAAGCCCCGGCUAACUACGUGCCAGCCGCCGCAGUAAUAC